AUUGAACGCUGGCGGCAGGCCUAACACAUGCAAGUCGAGCGGAUGAAGGGAGCUUGCUCCUGGAUUCAGCGGCGGACGGGUGAGUAAUGCCUAGGAAUCUGCCUGGUAGUGGGGGAUAACGUCCGGAAACGGGCGCUAAUACCGCAUACGUCCUGCGGGAGAAAGUGGGGGAUCUUCGGACCUCACGCUAUCAGAUGAGCCUAGGUCGGAUUAGCUAGUUGGUGGGGUAAAGGCCUACCAAGGCGACGAUCCGUAACUGGUCUGAGAGGAUGAUCAGUCACACGGGAACUGGGACACGGUCCAGACGCCUACGGGAGGCAGCAGUGGGGAAUAUUGGACAAUGGGCGAAAGCCUGAUCCAGCCAUGCCGCGUGUGUGAAGAAGGUCUUCGGAUUGUAAAGCACGUUAAGUUGGGAGGAAGGGCAGUAAGUUAAUACCUUGCUGUUUUGACGUUACCAACAGAAUAAGCACCGGCUAACUUCGUG
rnacentral:rRNA from 1 species